AUGAACGAAAUCAGCAAGGGGGGAAGCCAUAGUUAGGGUUUUCAAGCUUCCAAGCUCCAUAAUCAAGAAGUACGAAACUCGAGGUUAGACAAAGGGAAGAAUAAAGUUGAAGACUAAGUUGGUGAAUUUGGCUAUAAUUGGUACCGAGUAUUGCAAAGCUACUUCAAGGAUCCUAAAGAAGUCGGAGAUCGUCCACACUAUCAACCACAACUGCUCGGUAUUUUAUAUCGAAUCACGUUUGAGUUAUGGCAUGUAUAGGGAUUUAGUUAUUUUGUAUGUUUGUGAUUAUGAUUUUGCUAAAGAAUGGUGUGUAAGUAUUUGAUGAUGUAUGGUUAUUAAAAUGGUUAAGUA